rnacentral:rRNA from 1 species
GACGAACGCUGGCGGCGUGCUUAACACAUGCAAGUCGAACGGUAAGGCCCUGCUUUGGUGGGGUGCUCGAGUGGCGAACGGAUGAGGAACACGAGAGUAACCUGCCCUUGACUUUGGGAUAACUUCAGGAAACUGGGGCUAAUACCGGAUAGGAGCUCCCGCUGCAUGGUGGGGGUUGGAAAGUUUCGGCGGUUGGGGAUGGACUCGCGGCUUAUCAGCUUGUUGGUGGGGUAGUGGCUUACCAAGGCCUUGACGGGUAGCCGGCCUGAGAGGGUGACCGGCCACACUGGGACUGAGAUACGGCCCAGACUCCUACGGGAGGCAGCAGUGGGGAAUAUUGCACAAUGGGCGGAAGCCUGAUGCAGCAACGCCGCGUGCGGGAUGACGGCCUUCGGGUUGUAAACCGCUUUCGCCUGUGACGAAGCGUGAGUGACGGUAAUUGGUAAAGAAGCACCGGCUAACUACGUG